ACGUUCGGUAGAGGAAGUGGUUAAAUUAUUUUCUUUUCCAUUAAAUAUCAAUAAACAGCGAUCAUGGAAUGAGUGUCUUGGUGUACCAGCAGAAAACACAUAUUCUAAACGAAUGAGAAUUUGCAACAAUCAUUUUACAAUGGAAAGCUUUAUAUUGAAUAAGACCCCCUUGACCUUAAAAAGAGAUGCAAAGCCUUUAAGAGUGAUCAUGAUUGUAAAUUCUAAUUUCUUACUUCUAAUUGCUUCCAUUUACUUUUAGAAUUAAAUUUACAGUUCUAAUGACAUUUUCUUUAUUCAGGAAGCACACAUUGUAACGAGUGAAUCGCUUAGACAGCCUGAACUGGAGCAAGAUAAUUUAACGGAUUCUGUCAUAGAGUUAAAUAUAACAAAAGACGCUGCCAUACCUUCCUCCGCUACAAAUCCAACAACAGAGUCAGUAUUUAAGAAGAGCCAGUCUAGUGCAACAAUCAAAGAAAAAUCACUGCGACGAAUUUUAAAGCACAAAGAGAAACAGAU